rnacentral:rRNA from 1 species
UGCGUAGGCGGCCUAUUAAGUCAGUGGUGAAAGGUAUCAGCUUAACUGAUGACGUGCCAUUGAAACUGAUAGGCUUGAGUACAGACGAGGUAGGCGGAAUUUAUGGUGUAGCGGUGAAAUGCAUAGAUACCAUAAAGAACACCAAUUGCGAAGGCAGCUUACUAGACUGAGACUGACGCUGGGGCACGAAAGCGUGGGAAGCGAACAGGAUUAGAUACCCUGGUAGUC